rnacentral:rRNA from 1 species
CUACGGGGGGCAGCAGUGAGGAAUAUUGCGCAAUGGGCGAAAGCCUGACGCAGCGACGCCGCGUGGGGGAUGAAGGUCUUCGGAUUGUAAACCCCUUUCGGGAGGGAAGAUGGGACGAGCAAUCGUUCGGACGGUACCUCCAGAAGCAGCCACGGCUAACUUCGUGCCAGCAGCCGCGGUAAUACGAAGGUGGCAAGCGUUGUUCGGAUUUACUGGGCGUAAAGGGAGCGUAGGCGGUUUGGUAAGCCCUCCGGGAAAUCUUCGGGCUUAACCCGGAAAGGUCGGAGGGGACUGCCUGGCUAGAGGACGGGAGAGGAGCGCGGAAUUCCCGGUGUAGCGGUGAAAUGCGUAGAGAUCGGGAGGAAGGCCGGUGGCGAAGGCGGCGCUCUGGAACGUUCCUGACGCUGAGGCUCGAAAGCGUGGGGAGCAAACAGGAUUAGAUACCCUUGUAGUC